rnacentral:rRNA from 1 species
GACAGAGGGUGCAAACGUUGUUCGGAAUUACUGGGCGUAAAGCGCGUGUAGGCGGCUAUGUAAGUCGGGCGUGAAAUCCCACGGCUCAACCGUGGAAGUGCACCCGAAACUGCGUAGCUAGAGUCCUGGAGAGGAAGGUGGAAUGCUUGGUGUAGAGGUGAAAUUCGUAGAUAUCAAGCGGAACACCGGUGGCGAAGGCGGCCUUCUGGACAGUGACUGACGCUGAGACGCGAAAAGCGUGGGGAGCAAACAGG